rnacentral:misc_RNA from 1 species
AUUGAUAGAAGCAAAGUAAGGAUUCUGCUAUGUGAUAACAACACCAGGAGCUCUGAGGAAGUUUUUACACUUCUUUUGAAGUGCUCUUAUCAGGUUACAUCAGUGAGAUCAGCUAGGCAGGUAAUUGAUGCAUUGAAUGCUGAUGGACCUGAUAUCGAUAUCAUACUUGCUGAAGUUGACCUUCCAAUGAACAAAGGCAUGAAGAUGUUGAAGUACAUCACCCGGGAUAAAGAGUUACGGCGCAUUCCUGUGAUCAUGAUGUCGGCACAGGAUGAGGUCCCAAUUGUUGUUAAGUGCCUGAGGUUAGGAGCAGCAGACUAUCUUGUAAAACCAUUACGCACUAAUGAGCUGUUGAACCUGUGGACACACAUGUGGAGAAGGAGGCGCAUGCUUGGACUGGUGGAGAAGAACAUCUUGAAUUAUGAAUUUGAUCUGGUAGCAUCAGAUCCUAGUGAUGCCAACACAAAUAGUACUACUCUGUUUUCAGAUGACACAGAUGACAAGUCUCGGAGGUACAUAAAUCCAGAAAUGGGUGUAUCAAUUCAUCAGGAAAAUGAGUCUGUUGCUGCUGCCACUGCUGCCACACCCCCUCUGCUGCUGUUGCUGCAGCUCCAGCUUCAGCUACUGCUGUUGAGCCUUUACCUAGCAAUCCAAUGGAAUAUAGGCCUGAUGUGCCAGGAAUAAGUGACCGCAGAAUAGGACAAUUACCAUCUGGUCCAAAGAAGAGUGAAUUGAAGAUUGGCAAGUCCUCUGCCUUCUUCACUUAUGUCAAGUCGAGCACAAUUAAAAAUAAUUCCCAAGGUUUUGCCUGCAUCGAGUACGGUGCUGCACAAAAUUUGAGGCUUGAAGAGAAAGUUCAAGCAUGUGGUCGGCAAGUAGUUAUUGAUGCUCAAUUACAUGAAAAUGGGGAGAUAUGGGAGAGCUAUUCGCAAGAUGACUUCCACAGCAGUUCUAGCAUUCCUGAUUCUCUUUCUCUGGAGAGGUCUUGCACCCCGCCCAUGUCAAGAAAAUUUCCUCCAAGGAAUUUCAAGGAUGAAAAGUGCCCUCAGGUGCUUAUGCAUUCAAGAAAUGAGCUUCAGUAUGAUGCUUCAGGUAUAUCCUCACAAAGUGUUUAUCCAUUUUACAUGUCUGGAGUUGUGAAUCAAGUUAUAAUGCCGUCAUCAGCACAAUUAUAUCAAAAGAAUAUGCAUGAGCUGCAAAGUAAUGCACCAUCAGCUAUGCUGCCCCAAUACAAUCAUCUUCCACAAUGUUCCCCUCAUGUUAGUGGGAUGGCAUCAUUCCCCUAUUACCCUGUUAAUAUAUGUUUACAACCUGG